rnacentral:rRNA from 1 species
ACUCCUACGGGAGGCAGCAGUGGGGAAUUUUGGACAAUGGGCGAAAGCCUGAUCCAGCCAUGCCGCGUGCAGGAUGAAGGCCUUCGGGUUGUAAACUGCUUUUGUCCGGAACGAAACGGCCUUUUCUAAUAAAGAGGGCUAAUGACGGUACCGUAAGAAUAAGCACCGGCUAACUACGUGCCAGCAGCCGCGGUAAUACGUAGGGUGCAAGCGUUAAUCGGAAUUACUGGGCGUAAAGCGUGCGCAGGCGGUUAUGUAAGACAGUUGUGAAAUCCCCGGGCUCAACCUGGGAACUGCAUCUGUGACUGCAUAGCUAGAGUACGGUAGAGGGGGAUGGAAUUCCGCGUGUAGCAGUGAAAUGCGUAGAUAUGCGGAGGAACACCGAUGGCGAAGGCAAUCCCCUGGACCUGUACUGACGCUCAUGCACGAAAGCGUGGGGAGCAAACAGGAUUAGAAACCCCGGUAGUCCCAUGAU